rnacentral:rRNA from 1 species
UACGGGGGGGGCAAGCGUUGUUCGGAAUUACUGGGCGUAAAGGGCUCGUAGGCGGCCAACUAAGUCCGACGUGAAAUCCCCAAGCUUAACUUGGGAACUGCGUCGGAUACUGGAUGGCUUGAAUUCGGGAGAGGGAUGCAGAAUUCCAGGUGUGAGCGGUGAAAUGCGUAGAUAUCUGGAGGAAUACCGGUGGCGAAGGCGGCAUCCUGGACCGACAUUGACGCUGAUGAGCGAAAGCUAGGGGAGCAAACGGG